CAUAUUCGAAGCGUUUCUACAUUGAAUCGAUAACGUGAUUUACGACGUAGAAAUGACCUCCGAAAUACGAGAUACGUGAAAACAUUGCCUUCUUUUAAAUUAAUGUGUUAUCACAUAAUAGGCCAACCACAUUGUGUCUAGUACUGCACAAUCAUACGAUUCAAACAAGUCCUUGAAACUCCACUCUUUUUAUCUCUUUAUAAACAAAUUUCCUUGAUUUAUCAAAAUAAGACCAAAUAAGUAUAAAAUAAAAUCCUACAUAACUCCUCCGUCUAUCACCGUCCACUUCCGGUUUCACAUUCUAUCUCAGUGAAAAAGAUCUUCAACUGCAUCUAAAAUAUACCAUUACUCUAUGAAACGUAGAGAAGAAAGGUGUGGGGACCAUCCAUCCUGACCGCGGUGACUCCGUCGUGUGAUUUGUCACUGUGCCUGGUAAUAAGCACUGAACGAUCACACCGUGUUUC